CUUCAGCUCAUAGAGUCAGUAGAAGCCACCUGGGGAGCAAGAAAGUGGCAUUCCUAAACUUCCCAGCCAUGGACGUAUUAGUGGAGGCCUAGUAGGGGGACAGGAUUGCCACCCCUGCCUAACAGUAAGGAGGGCACUCCGAUGUCAGGAUAGGGACCCACAGAACCUAUACCAAGAUAGAGUAUACACUGGGCUAUAAAACAAACCUCAUCAACUCGGAGAAAUUUGAAAUCAUGCAUCAUGUGUGCACCAACCACAACCAGAAAUCAGUGACGGGAAAAUAAAAGGAGGGGUUCCAGGGUGGCUUAGUCGGGUUAGCUGCCAUGUGACAAAGCUACCCAGGGACCAAUCUGAACCAGAAGUCAACUGACGAAUAUUUAUGGAGGACCCGCCAAGAAAUAGUACUUGGGAAAAGCAUUGCAUCAAAUCUGUCAAAAGGAUUUAAAAAUGUAAUAAAGACACAGAGAGAGAGGCAGAGACCCAGGCAGAGGGAGAAGCAGGCUCCAUGCAGGGAGCCCGACGUGGGACUCGAUCCCGGGUCUCCAGGAUCACGCCCUGGGCCGAAGGCAGGUGCUAAACCUCUGGGCCACCCAGGUGCCCCAUUUGCUCUGAAUUUUUACUUGUAUUUCACGGUAGCAAGAAAUGUGGCCAAUGAGCAUCAAUUUUGGAAAUACACUGGGAUUCUCUCCAUGACCUAAUGUAUGUGUGAUGUCUGCAAAUAUCCAUAAAAAGUUAUUCUUAGUAAGGUACAAGUCACUGUACAAUGCAUCUAAUA